rnacentral:rRNA from 1 species
CCUACGGGUGGCAGCAGUGAGGAAUAUUGGUCAAUGGGCGCUAGUCUGAACCAGCCAAGUAGCGUGAAGGAUGACUGCCCUAUGGGUUGUAAACUUCUUUUAUAUGGGAAUAAAAUGUUCCACGUGUGGGAUUUUGUAUGUACCAUAUGAAUAAGGAUCGGCUAACUCCGUGCCAGCAGCCGCGGUAAUACGGAGGAUCCGAGCGUUAUCCGGAUUUAUUGGGUUUAAGGGGAGCGUAGGUGGAUUGUUAAGUCAGUUGUGAAAGUUUGCGGUUCAACCGUAAAAUUGCAGUUGAAACUGGCAGUCUUGAGUACAGUAGAGGUGGGCGGAAUUCGUGGGGUAGCGGUGAAAUGCUUAGAUAUCACGAAGAACUCCGAUUGCGAAGGCAGUUCACUGGACUGCAACUGACACUGAGGCUCGAAAGUGUGGGUAUCAAACAGGAUUAGAUACCCUAGUAGUC